rnacentral:rRNA from 1 species
AAUACAAGAAACCGGCGCACGGGUGCGUAACGCGUAUGCAACCUACCUAUAACUGGGGUAUAGCUCGGCGAAAGUCGAAUUAAUCCCCCAUAACAUUUAAUAUUCUCAUGAAUAUUAUCUUAAAGCUCCGGCGGUUAUAGAUGGGCAUGCGUAUCAUUAGCUAGUUGGUAAGGUAACGGCUUACCAAGGCUACGAUGAUUAGGGGGUCUGAGAGGAUGAUCCCCCACACUGGAACUGAGACACGGUCCAGACUCCUACGGGAGGCAGCAGUGAGGAAUAUUGGUCAAUGGGGGCAACCCUGAACCAGCCAUGCCGCGUGAAGGAUUAAGGCCCUACGGGUUGUAAACUUCUUUUAUUUGGGACGAACUGUAGAUACGUGUAUUUACUUGACGGUACCAAAUGAAUAAGCACCGGCUAACUCCGUGCCAGCAGCCGCGGUAAUACGGAGGGUGCAAGCGUUAUCCGGAUUUAUUGGGUUUAAAGGGUGCGUAGGUGGUAUUGUAAGUCAGUGGUGAAAUUCUGUAGCUUAACUAUAGAACUGCCAUUGAUACUACAGUUCUUGAGUACAAUUGAGGUAGGCGGAAUGUGCAGUGUAGCGGUGAAAUGCUUAGAUAUUGCACAGAACACCAAUUGCGAAGGCAGCUUACUAAACUGUAACUGACACUGAGGCACGAAAGCAUGGGGAUCGAACAGGAUUAGAUACCCUGGUAGUCCAUGCCGUAAACGAUGAUUACUCGAUGUAUGCGAUAUAUAGUAUGCGUCUAAGCGAAAGCAUUAAGUAAUCCACCUGGGGAGUACGACCGCAAGGUUGAAACUCAAAGGAAUUGACGGGGGCCCGCACAAGCGGAGGAACAUGUGGUUUAAUUCGAUGAUACGCGAGGAACCUUACCUGGGCUAGAACGCCGAACGACCUCCCGAGAAAUCGGGAUUCCCCUCGGGGCGGUCGGCGAGGUGCUGCAUGGUUGUCGUCAGCUCGUGCCGUGAGGUGUCGGAUUAAGUUCCAUAACGAGCGCAACCCUUAUCGUUAGUUGCCAGCGAGUAAUGUCGGGAACUCUAACGAAACUGCCGGUGUAAACCGUGAGGAAGGUGGGGGUGACGUCAAAUCAGCACGGCCCUUACGUCCAGGGCCACACACGUGUUACAAUGGUCGGUACAAAGGGCAGCUACACCGCGAGGUGAUGCUAAUCUCUAAAACCGAUCUCAGUUCGGAUUGUAGUCUGAAACUCGACUACAUGAAGCUGGAUUCGCUAGUAAUCGAACAUCAGCCAUGGUUCGGUGAAUACGUUCCCGGGCCUUGUACACACCGCCCGUCAAGCCAUGGAAGCUGGGAGUACCUGAAGUACGUAACCGAAAGGAGCGUCCUAGGGUAGUACCGGUAACUGGGGCUAAGUCGGAACAAGGUA